GCGCCGGCAGCUCAGUUGGAAGAGCAGUGGGACGGUACGCCACGGUCCUGGGCUCAAGCCCCGGCCAGUACU